CACAUCAUUUUGAAACAUAGGUUCACGUACGAUCACAGAUGUUAAGCAAAGUCAAGCCUGGUCAGUACCUAGAUGGGUGUCCGCUUGGGAAUACCAAGUGCUGUAAG